rnacentral:rRNA from 1 species
CACGCCGUAAACGAUGAAUACUAAGUGUUGGGGAAACUCAGUGCUGCAGUUAACGCAUUAAGUAUUCCGCCUGAGGAGUACGUGCGCAAGCAUAAAACUCAAAGGAAUUGACGGGGGCCCGCACAAGCGGUGGAUUAUGUGGUUUAAUUCGAAGCAACGCGAAGAACCUUACCAGGUCUUGACAUACCAGGCAAAACCCUAGAGAUAGGGCAAUAGUUAUGCUGGAUACAGGUGG